rnacentral:rRNA from 1 species
GUGAGGAAUAUUGCGCAAUGGAGGCAACUCUGACGCAGCCAUGCCGCGUGCAGGAAGAAGGCGCUACGCGUUGUAAACUGCUUUUAACCGGGAAGAAACCCCAGGACGUGUCCUGGGUUGACGGUACCGGAGGAAUAAGCACCGGCUAACUUCGUGCCAGCAGCCGCGGUAAUACGAAGGGUGCAAGCGUUAUCCGGAUUCAUUGGGUUUAAAGGGUGCGUAGGCGGAGCGUUAAGUCAGUGGUGAAAUCCUGCAGCUUAACUGUAGACUUGCCAUUGAUACUGGCGCGCUUGAGUGCGCUUGAAGUGGGCGGAAUGUGCCGUGUAGCGGUGAAAUGCUUAGAUAUGGCACAGAACACCAAUUGCGAAGGCAGCUCACUAAGGCGAUACUGACGCUGAGGCACGAAAGCGUGGGGAUCGAACAGGAUUAGAUACCCUGGUAGUCC